ensembl:misc_RNA Metazoa_SRP Metazoan signal recognition particle RNA
GCUGGGCGUGGUAGCUCAUGCCUGUAAUCCCAGCACUUUGGGAGGCUGAGGUGGGUGGAUCACCUGAGGUCAGGAGUUUGAAACCAGCCUGACCAAUAAGGUGAAACCCCAUCUCUA